rnacentral:rRNA from 1 species
GAGUUUGAUCCUGGCUCAGAUUGAACGCUGGCGGCAUGCUUUACACAUGCAAGUCGAACGGCAGCGCGGGGGCAACCCUGGCGGCGAGUGGCGAACGGGUGAGUAAUGCAUCGGAACGUAUCCUGUAAUGGGGGAUAACGUAGCGAAAGUUACGCUAAUACCGCAUACGCUCGAGAGAGGAAAGUGGGGGAUCGCAAGACCUCACGUUAUAGGAGCGGCCGAUGCCCGAUUAGCUAGUUGGUGGGGUAAAGGCCUACCAAGGCGACGAUCGGUAGCUGGUCUGAGAGGAUGAUCAGCCACACUGGGACUGAGACACGGCCCAGACUCCUACGGGAGGCAGCAGUGGGGAAUUUUGGACAAUGGGCGAAAGCCUGAUCCAGCCAUGCCGCGUGCGGGAAGAAGGCCUUCGGGUUGUAAACCGCUUUAGUCCGGGAAAAAGGGGUGCGAGGAUAAUACCCUUGUGCUUUGAUGGUACUGGAAGAAUAAGCACCGGCUAACUACGUG